CUAUACAUGCAAGUCGAACGAAACUUUCUUACACCGAAUGCUUGCAUUCACCGUAAGAAGUUGAGUGGCGGACGGGUGAGUAACACGUGGGUAACCUGCCUAAAAGAAGGGGAUAACACUUGGAAACAGGUGCUAAUACCGUAUAUCUCUAAGGAUCGCAUGAUUCUUAGAUGAAAGAUGGUUCUGCUAUCGCUUUUAGAUGGACCCGCGGCGUAUUAACUAGUUGGUGGGGUAACGGCCUACCAAGGUGAUGAUACGUAGCCGAACUGAGAGGUUGAUCGGCCACAUUGGGACUGAGACACGGCCCAAACUCCUACGGGAGGCAGCAGUAGGGAAUCUUCCACAAUGGACGCAAGUCUGAUGGAGCAACGCCGCGUGAGUGAAGAAGGUCUUCGGAUCGUAAAACUCUGUUGUUAGAGAAGAACACGAGUGAGAGUAACUGUUCAUUCGAUGACGGUAUCUAACCAGCAAGUCACGGCUAACUACGUGCCAGCAGCCGC
rnacentral:rRNA from 2 species